rnacentral:tRNA from 1 species
AUCUCUUUAGUAUAAUAAAUAUAUUUGACUUCCAAUCAAAGGUUCCCUCAGGGAAGAGAUA